rnacentral:miRNA from 1 species
AACCUCAUCAACUGGGAGGAAUUCCUUCCAAUUGGUGAGGUGUAACCCUUCCGGUGAUAAGGUAUAACACCUCACCGACCAGAAGGGAUUUCCUUCCAGUGAUGAGGUA